UCCGGUUUGUCACCGGCAGUCACCUUAGAGUGCCCAACUAAAUGCUGGCAACUAAGAUUAAGGGUUGCGCUCGUUGCGGGACUUAACCCAACAUCUCACGGCACGAGCUGACGACAGCCAUGCAGCACCUGUGCUAGCCCCCGAAGGAGGACCGGCUUUCACCGGCUUCACCCCGCAUGUCAAGCCCUGGUAAGGUUCUUCGCGUCGCGUCGAAUUAAGCCACAUGCUCCGCCGCUUGUGCGGGCCCCCGUCAAUUCCUUUGAGUUUUAGCCUUGCGGCCGUACUCCCCAGGCGGGGCGCUUAAUGCGUUAGCUACGGCACAGAACCCAAAACGGACCCCACACCUAGCGCCCACCGUUUACAGCAUGGACUAC
rnacentral:misc_RNA from 1 species